rnacentral:rRNA from 1 species
AAAAUACGGGAGGCAGCAGCUAAGAAUAUUCCGCAAUGGACGAAAGUCUGACGGAGCGACGCCGCGUGGAUGAAGAAGGCUGAAAAGUUGUAAAAUCCUUUUGUUGAUGAAGAAUAAGGAUAAGAGGGAAUGCUUAUCUGAUGACGGUAAUCAGCGAAUAAGCCCCGGCUAAUUACGUGCCAGCAGCCGCGGUAAUUUUU